GAUGAACGCUGGCGGCGUGCUUAACACAUGCAAGUCGAGCGAAGCGCUUUUGCGGAUUUCUUCGGAUUGAAGCAACUGUGACUGAGCGGCGGACGGGUGAGUAACGCGUGGGUAACCUGCCUCAUACAGGGGGAUAACAGUUGGAAACGGCUGCUAAUACCGCAUAAGCGCACAGUACCGCAUGGUACCGUGUGAAAAACUCCGGUGGUAUGAGAUGGACCCGCGUCUGAUUAGCUAGUUGGUGGGGUAACGGCCUACCAAGGCGACGAUCAGUAGCCGACCUGAGAGGGUGACCGGCCACAUUGGGACUGAGACACGGCCCAAACUCCUACGGGAGGCAGCAGUGGGGAAUAUUGCACAAUGGGGGAAACCCUGAUGCAGCGACGCCGCGUGAGCGAUGAAGUAUUUCGGUAUGUAAAGCUCUAUCAGCAGGGAAGAAAAUGACGGU
rnacentral:rRNA from 1 species